UUUUUUAAUUAUGCAAAUAGAGUGCCAACUUGUUUCAUUUUGUCUAAAAUGCUUGGAUUUGAAUCCACCCUUAAUUGAUAUGUAGAACUACAAUGGUUGGAGAGUGAACCUAAUGUGACAAUCCUGUGUAAAGAUUGCAUUGAUGGGUUUCCUGGUUUGAUUGAGAAAGACGGUUCUAAUGUGUUUGUAAAUUGGGUUAAGAGCAAUCAGAUCAAAACUGUUACAAGCAAUAAUCCAGGUUGCCAUUAACGUCGUCUUUGUUGCCGCUGUUCACUCAGAAGGGACUAAUUAUUGGGUGUUUUCCGCGCAGACGUCCAUUUUGGGAAAGCUUAGUAAUUCUGCUCGUCAUAGUGUUUUAUGCAUUCCAAGGAAGCCAGUUGGGAUAUCAUGGUGUAAUGUUGAUGCCAAAGAGGAGUUUGUCAGACCUUAUAAUGAUGUUAGAUUGCAUAACCAGCAUAAAUCGUCCAGGCAUACAGUUGUACAAUGUGGACUUGUUGAAACUGGAACCCUUGAUGAAGCCUUACCAGGUUUCUCUAUUGAGACUUUUCUGUGUUUACCCUUCUUAUUAGCCUUAUAAAUCUAACUGACUUAUUCGUUGUUAAUUUUUAAAUUGCAGAAGUAAAUAUGGUCUAAGAAGUUAGGGGGCUGUGCUUUUAAUGACAUUUCUCUUUGCACUUAUGGUACAGUUCCUUCCAAGAAUUUUGUUCAUCAUGUAGUUCCAAAGGUCCUAGUUCCUGCUUGCAGAAGUCACAGGAUAUUGAAAAUUCAACAUUAUUUUCAUCAGAAGGGUUAAAAUGUGACCUAUGUUGAGAAAGUCUCAUGCAUCAACAUCGGGGCAGCAAUGGUGGUGUUUGGAUCAAUGAAGAAGCAGAGAUAAAUGAUGUCCUUAUAGCUUUUGGCAGGAUACAAUUUGGAUGUAAAUAUGAUGCCUUGAAAUUUCAAAUGCAUCCGGCACCUGAUAUGUAACUUUUCAAGUUAUUAUAUUUGUAAAGUAAUGGCUAAUAAGCAUGUUAACAUAUAUUUAUGCUACUUAUUUACCUAUUACUUCUUGUUGCAAAGUGUUGAUAACAUAUAUUUAUUAAUUUAAAAUUAAUUUUCAUA